AUCGCACUCCUACUCAGGCCUAGGCAUGUAUCAGACAUCGCUUGUGGCACACAAACGAGGGGCAUGAACGAUCAGAUGGUGAUUCCGAAGUGCCAAAAGAAAGUGGGGCAAUUCGUAGUUUCUGCAUGGAUCUCGAGUACUUCCCCAGAAAUUCAUUUUAAAGUAACCCUAAAGAAUUUACACAAAUUACAAGGUGUCACAAGGCGGGAAGGAAAAAAAACUAAAACAUUUGACGUAGCGAAAUAUAUUUCGAGGUCUUUUGAUCAGAUGUUCAACUGACCCUUCACUUGAACAUCCGUUCAAAUAUCAAGGGAAGAAACUAUUUCGACAUGUUCCUCAACGUAUAGUUUACUCGAAAGUCACGAUGAAUAAUAUAAAAUUUCUUCAUUAUCACAAACGAUUUAAUAGUAAUAUGUGAUUUAAUAGUAUUAUGCAUGUAAUUCUCUAAAACGAGAUACAAUUUGUUCUACAGGAUUUCGGGGAAAUUUUUUGUAGAAUCAACCAAGAUGCAACAGCAUAAAACAGUGUUUGAUAGAUCACUAUCAUAUUUUUAAGUCUCUAAGAAAUUACUGUACUAGGAGCUAAUCUCGAGUUAUCGACAAGAUGUAUUUCCCAGAUAAUGAGUAUGCACUCUGUCUGAUGAAUAAAGGAAGCGGUAGAAAGUUACUACAAUACAGGAAUUCAUCAAAUCUUUGCCAUGAUGCUAAUCGUAUCAGCUCUUUUGAAUGGAGAACGUACAAAACAUCCCCAUCCUUCUUAAUUUCCACGUUCUGAGAAAUGUUUUUUCUAGGUUGCUUACGAAGUAAAACAAAUAAUUAGAAGUGUGAUAUUUUGGUAGAUUACAUGUAUGAUGACGUUAUCUAAGAACGAUGACAUGAACCGGUAAAUUAGUACAUGCGGUUUGAGGAGUAGAAUCGCAACAAAAGAAAAAAAGAUUGAGUGAUUGUCAUUUGAAGCACGUCUUCUGUAGCCUUGCUUCAAAUCUUUGAGAAAAACUUAGUCCCCCCCCCCCAACUGGAUAAAACCGAGAACUAACAAAUUACAACAUUUCAUUAUGAGAAAAAGAAAUCUUCACGACGGCAGUAGUGCAAAAAAAGCAGUCUGUUUUCCAAUAACUAUCAUUUUUGUAUACGGGGUAAAAAAGUAAGAAGAAUUUAAGUAAAAGAAGUAUGAAGAAGAAUUUACUUUUGGCUUUUAGUAACAUCUACAUAUUCAUCAAAUUCCGAGUAGUUAAAAUACUCACGUUAUUUGAUGCUGUAAUUUUGAAUUAAAUCCUUAUUUCAUAAAAUUCCAAUUUUCAGUUUUUCUUUCUCGUGCAAACAACGAUAUUUAGUUGGACCUACGACAGGUAGAUUCCGCUUAGUUGCAAGGACUAAACUGGAAAAGCAUUUAACAAGGAUUAAAUUGGAAAAGCAUUUAGCAUUUCGUAAGGAAAUAUAUUUUCAGUACUUUUUUAAUUUUAGACACCCCUUUUAGUUUUUGAAUGGAUAAAUAGAAGAAUAGAUUAUACAGAGAGCCAUGAGCGUCUCACGGCUCUCAAAUUCAUCAUGUGUAGAGAUAACUACUUUUUCAGUUACCACAAAAUAUCAAGCUUGUUCAGUUACCACAAAAGCAUCACGACAAGUUGAAUGCCCUUAUUCUGAAAUCUAAAAUUCCAAAUUCUAAGAGUACACAUGAUAUCGUAUAAGCAUCAACCCACCACGUGAAAUAUUCUUUUUACGAUAGAGAACUUAUGUACGAAUAAACGAUUACUUACCAUAUAAAUUCAAGAGUCAAGAACGAUGGUGAUGGCAAACAGCGACAGACUACUCACACAGUUAAGCAACAAUAAUUUACCAGCAGGUUAUAUAAAUAGCAUGUAUAGGAAACAUAAAAAAAACUUAAUAUACUAAAACACUUAUGGUUACAAGCAUUUCAAGUAAAGAAUAUCUAAUUUACAGGUGUUUGACCGGUGGGCGCUUUACGAAAUGGAACCUUUGCAACGUAACAGGAAGAGGUUCGGUUUAUUUGAUUAUGGCAAAGCAUACAAGGGCUUUUCAUGGAGGACUUUCUAAGGGCAACUGGCUCAUAUCCACUCAUAUCAUUGAUUAGACAUGAGGAAAACUACGAAAAUGCCCAUGCAGGCAGCGUGUUUGCCUGGAAUCGAACCCAGGUUGAACUGUUAGUUUUCAGCGAAUUUACCCCUAAACUACGUAUCAGGAAGAGAAUGCCUUGUGGGAAGCUUUCAGAAAGAAACUAACUUUCACACAGAUGGGGACAACCAUGAAGAUGCUACGCACUGAGUCCAUCAUUCUCAGGAAGCUGAACCGGAGACCUACCACCAAAAUUUAAUCGAGUUAUGAUUUUGACUACGCAUGGGUGCCACUUAGUUAACAAUAAAAAAUGGAAUAUGAUAUGGUAUGAAAACAUUACUACCACUUGAAUUCAGAGACUAUGGAACUUCCAACCUCCAGUUUGAUUAAAAACAGAAACCAAACACAGGUCAAACGGAAAUUUUUACAUUACAUUUCAAGGUAAACAUGUCAGGAAGAACGGAGGGCAAGAGACAAACGUAUGACGAACACACGACAAUUUGCAGUCUUUUGUUCUUCGUUCCAUCAGCAAGGUCCCCCAAAAUGCAAAUGAUUUCACUGCUUAAUUUAUAGCGAACAACUACAACAGCUUUCAUUGUUACAAUCAAAUGAGAAAGGAUAGAAAUUCAUAAAUAUUUAUGUACGUAACACGGUUUGCUUUCUAGAAGCUAGAAUAAUGUAUUUAGUUAUUUGUAAGUUAGACUUCACUAACUUGCCUAAAACAAUAAGAUGGUAAACUUUGGGCCACAAAGUGAAAUAGCCGGGAAUAUCAAAAUCAUUUUCUUUUUUGUGGCACAAUAUAAAGCGUUAAAAAAUGCUAUAUGAAUGAAAGGCACACUUAAAAAUGAAAACAGUCCAGAUGCAAUUCAAUCCAGUAUGAUUCACGAAGUGAAGAUUCUUGAAAUACUAGAAAUAUGAAGAGCGAUACAGUAUGCAUCUGCAGUGCGCAGCUGAUAGAAUGUAAAAGGGCAAGUGCGACGAAUGACACGCAUUUACAACUGCGUGACGGCUUGGAUACACGAAAUUGUAACGAACGAUGCCUUCAAGACGUACUUAAUGGCGUUACGAACAAUUGUCAGACUUUGAGAGGUGUCGCAUCAUUGGGCUAAAAGAGGCUGGUUAGUCGAACAGGCUGAUCGAUCGGCAUAUUGGUUGAAGCGAAAUGGUCGUUACCUGUUGAUGGAAUCAGUGGCUCAGCGAAUGCAUAGCGGUGGCUUGGACAUACCCGGGCCACCAAUGUCCGUGAUGAUCGCGCUAUUAGAACAGCUGCCACCUCUGCACCAACAGUUACGUUAUUAUUGAUUCAACGGUAUUUGCCAACUCGCAGGAAUCCUGCGAUUCGCAGGGAGAUAAGGAUACGUAUUCGCAGAAGGAUACGUAUUCGCAGGGAGAUAAGGAUACGUAUUCGUAAGGGAUACGAUUCGCAGAAGACAACUUGAUGUUGGGCUCAGAUCUCAACGCGCUCUCGCUGAAGGCAAUGUCCGAUUAGAGAAACGUGAUCUUCAGCGACGAAUCACGCUUUUCUCUCAAUGCUGAUGACCGCCGCAUACAUGUCUGGAGAAAGGUGAGAGGUCCAAUGUACUAUUUGUUACUGAGCGGCACACAGUCAGAACACAGAGUGUAACAGUCUGGGAAGAGAUCAGCUGGGACAGCCGUUCAUCGUUAGUCGUGCUGCAAAGUGCUUUGACUGCUCGCAGGUACGUUGACGACACUUCGCUGCCGAUCGUACUGGCUAUGCUAGCAGGGCGUCCAGAUUCUGUUUUCCAGCAGGAAAAUGUUCGGCCACAUACAGCACGACUUUCUCAACAAUGUCUUUGACGUGAUAAUGUCCUCGAUUGGCCUUGCCAGUUCUCCAGACCUGUUGCUUAUUGAACAUGCUUCGGAUAUGUUGGGCAGGCAGAUUUAGCCGUGUACAAAUACGUUCCUAGCACGCUGAUCAAGUGCUCCAUUUGUGGCACAGUCUACCGCAUAGGAACACUGGCAACUUAAUAAACACUACGCCCAACAAGCAUCGGCUUUUAUAACUGCCAGGAGCGGCUUUACCACCUAAUGGUUUUCCCAUUUUUUUUAAAAAAUGCUACUCAUAAAUAAAACGCUUUUUUCAUCUC
rnacentral:lncRNA from 1 species